AGGAUGAAAGAGUGAAGGGCGACUUGCCUUUCCUCUAAACACUCUCCUCAGGUAUACCCACAAUGAUAAAAAAUAAUAAUGGGGCACAUGAGUUAUUUUUUAUCAUUGUGGGUAUACCUGGGGAGAGUGUUUAGAGGAAAGGCAAGUCGCCCUUCACUCUUUCAUCCUCU
rnacentral:miRNA from 1 species